GUGCAGGCAGAAUAACAGCAAAGUAGCUGCAUUUGCAUUUGUUUAACCCUCUGUGGCAUGGUGUUGCCCUCAGGCAACAUACUACCUUUUUCUACCUCACACCACCACUUACAUUUUUUGGGAUAAAUAAAAUAUAUCACCUAACAUGUUUGUAUCCAAUGAAAUGAGGGACUGAAGUGAGUGUGGCCUUUUGUCUGGGGUGGAGCAGUCCUUUCAGGAAGCAAAGCCACAUGGGACACAGUGCCACCAAUUGGAAAUGGACACAAGAACGUUUUAUGGGCRGAAGUGUCAUGGCUGUCGUUGAAGAAAGACCAAAGCGCAGCGUGGAGAAUGCCUGAGGAUGAAGAUGUAGCAGAGGUUGAUGUUCCACGGCUACCCCGGUGGAGAACACCCCACAAUGCAUACUUCAUUGC